rnacentral:rRNA from 1 species
GUAGGUGGCAAGCGUUGUCCGGAAUUAUUGGGCGUAAAGCGCGCGCAGGCGGUCCUUUAAGUCUGAUGUGAAAGCCCACGGCUCAACCGUGGAGGGUCAUUGGAAACUGGGGGACUUGAGUACAGAAGAGGAAAGCGGAAUUCCAAGUGUAGCGGUGAAAUGCGUAGAGAUUUGGAGGAACACCAGUGGCGAAGGCGGCUUUCUGGUCUGUAACUGACGCUGAGGCGCGAAAGCGUGGGGAGCAAACAGGAUUAGAUACCCGGGUAGUCCACGCCGUAAACGAUGAGUGCUAAGUGUUAGGGGGUUUCCCGCCCCCCUUAGUGCUGCAGCUAACGCAUUAAGCACUCCGCCUGGGGGAGUACGGCCGCAAGGCUG